rnacentral:rRNA from 1 species
GAUGAACGCUGGCGGCGUGCCUAAUACAUGCAAGUCGAGCGAACAGACGAGGAUCUUGCUCCUCUGACGUUAGCGGCGGACGGGUGAGUAACACGUGGAAAACCUACCUAUAAGACUGGGAUAACUUCGGGAAACCGGCGCUAAUACCGGAUAAUCUAUUGAACCGCAUGGUUCAAUAGUGAAAGACGGUUUUGCUGUCACUAAUAGAUGGAUGCGCGCCGCAUUAUCUAGUUGGUGAUGUACCGGCUUAUCAAGGCAACGAUGCGUAGCCGACCUGAGAGGGUGAUCGACCACAUAGGAACUGAAAGCCGGUCCAGGCGCCGACGGAAGGCAGGAGUACGGAAUGUUCCGCAAUGGGGGAAAGACUGACGGAGCGGCGCCACGUGAAUGAUGAAGGUCUUCGGAACGUAACACUCUGUUAUUGGUGAAAAACAAAUGUGUAAGUAACUAAGCACGACUUGACGGUACCUAAUCAGAAAGCCACGGCUAACUACGU